rnacentral:rRNA from 1 species
AUUGAACGCUGGCGGCAUGCCUUACACAUGCAAGUCGAACGGCAGCGCGGGAGCAAUCCUGGCGGCGAGUGGCGAACGGGUGAGUAAUAUAUCGGAACGUGCCCAGUAGUGGGGGAUAGCCCGGCGAAGGCCGGAUUAAUACCGCAUGAGACCUGAGGGUGAAAGCGGGGGAUCGCAAGACCUCGCGCUACUGGAGCGGCCGAUAUCAGAUUAGCUAGUUGGUGGGGUAAAGGCCUACCAAGGCAACGAUCUGUAGUUGGUCUGAGAGGACGACCAGCCACACUGGGACUGAGACACGGCCCAGACUCCUACGGGAGGCAGCAGUGGGGAAUAUUGGACAAUGGGCGCAAGCCUGAUCCAGCAAUACCGCGUGUGUGAAGAAGGCCCUAGGGUUGUAAAGCACUUUCAAUGGGGAGAAACCUGCCGGUCAAUACCCGGUAGCUUGACAUUACCUAUAGAAGAAGCACCGGCUAACUCCGUGCCAGCAGCCGC